rnacentral:rRNA from 1 species
ACUCAAAUGAAUUGACGGGGGCCCGCACAAGCGGUGGAGCAUGCGGUUUAAUUCGAUGUUACACGAAAAACCUUACCAACUUUUGACAUAGUGGUCGCGGAGAACAGAGAUGUUUUCCUUCAGUUAGGCUGGACCACAUACAGGUGUUGCAUGGCUGUCGUCAGCUCGUGUCGUGAGAUGUUGGGUUAAGUCCCGCAACGAGCGCAACCCUCAUCCUUAGUUGCCAGCGAGUAAUGUCGGGAACUCUAAGGAAACUGCCGGUGAUAAGCCGGAGGAAGGUGGGGACGACGUCAAGUCAUCAUGGCCCUUACAGGUUGGGCUACACGCGUGCUACAAUGGCAGUGACAAAAGGAUGCUAAGGGGUGACCUGGCGCAAAUCCUAAAAAGCUGUCUCAGUUCGAAUUGCACUCUGCAACUCGAGUGCAUGAAGUCGGAAUCGCUAGUAAUCGCGGAUCAGCAUGCCGCGGUGAAUACGUUCACGGGCCUUGUACACACCGCCCGU